UUUACACUCAUCGUUCCAAUUGCUAAAGCAAAAGUGCUAUGUUGAACGCACGAUUAAUGACUCUGAGGACCACAUUAGGCUGUCUUUUAGCCUUACCUCUGCAAUUAUUUCUCUUUGUUCCCCGCCUGUGAAGUGUCUAUCGAGUUGCCUUAGCUGUGUUUUUUUAGGUGAGGUGAUGAUCUUUGAAAAAAAAGAAGACUCGCAGGUGUUGAUGUAUAUUUAAUGUUUUGUCAUCUUACCAUGAGCUUUUCUCAAUCUCUUCUAAAUUGUGAUUUGAGGUUUUGUUCAAAAAUUGGCAUAACGAUUUUCAACAAAGCCUGCUAUAAAGUACAAGCAUUUGUAGGGUUCGCCUUUUGAGAAAAGAAGUAUCCAAGUAUUCAUUACUCUGUUUCUUUUUUGGAUUUACUUGUCUAGGAUUGCUAGAAAAAGAAUAAGAAUUUACUUUUGAUUGGCGUAAACAAUGUAUAAGACAGAUAUUGGGAAGUUCCUUUGACGGUACGUGUGAGAAAAGUAAAUUCCAGAGAGGAAUGAAUAUCACUUGAAA
rnacentral:lncRNA from 1 species